GAGGCGGCCUCUUCUUCCGCCGCCGGGUGAGGAGAAUAUAGGUGGCCGCUUCCACAUUCACUUUUACUGCAGAGCACGCUCGUUAACACCCUUUUGGUCAUCCAACCACCUUCUAUUUAACGCGAUAUAAUAAUAUACAGCUGAGCUGUUCGAUGUUUUGCAUCUUUGAUUGAACCGAAGCACCCGUAUGACAUUAGAAGGAUCUCACGGGACACCAUCAUCUCAAUUAACGAUGGGGGGAAGUGAGUGACAGGUGAUCAGUACAGCGUGUUCGCCCACGGGCCUCAUGUCACAGUCAGCAGUUUCCCAUCUCUUCCCCAGUGGCCCGGGCCACCCCCCACCCACGAACAUAUAAUGGGAUGGAUUCAACAUUUCCUGUUCUGAGAGUUGCAUUCGCAUUUUCUUCUGAGGAAGCGCAUUUUUGUGUUUAUGUAUAACUUCAUAAAGUAGGCUGGUGUUCUUUCUUUUCUCGCAGGGAUCAUGAUGAUCUUCGCACGUGUUUAAUAAGUUGAAAAAAAUGGGCACUGAAAAGAAUAUUUUGUGUGGUCGAAUAUGGACAGUUAUAUAUGUUUUUUAUUUAGUUUUUAUGCAAUCAGGAUGAUUCUUUUGGGGAGGGGGUUUCAAACAAGACUGAUAUUUCCCUAAUAUUAGUUCAUAAAAUGUUUUAAUUAAAAUAAUAAUUAAAAUGUUUCCAUGAAACGAUCAAUUUUGUUUACAUAUUUAGUUGCAAGUUUUGACGUUUUGUCUGCAACUUCAGAGUUUGGGUUUACUGUCCAAUCAAGUCUGGUCAUUCUCAGUACGUUGUUUGAAGCCUUUUCAUUGGUCAGUUUGGGAUGAUGGCGUCACAAUUUCCGCCUUCACGGCAGUACAAGAAAAGGUACCAGCGAAACGUGGCUACCUGUCUCACGCCAACUCUCCCUGAUUUAAUUGCGUGAUGGAAAAGUAUCUGGGUGGACAACAGGCCAAGGUAGGCAGUGAUUUACUUGAAAUGAUGUGAAUUUGUUGAAAAUCAAUAUUUCCUGUUCAAAUACAUGCGGGAUGGGAAGUGCAGCUACCGGCAGCAAGCCUUCCCAAAACGUCUUGUGCAGUCAUUCAUUAGAAGCAGAAUUACAGUAGCUUAGUACAACACCACCUUCUAUUGGUAAAACGACUGUACUGCAAUAGAAUAUUGGCAAGUGUCUGUUUUGGUCUUUCAUUUUUGUGUGCGUAAAACCAGCCAAAAAAAUUUGAAGGACAGCCUAACAGAAUUCUGCCUCCAUACUACGACAGGCAGCCUCCUUUUAAUGUGGUUGUGGCAGCCACACCGAAAGAGGCGUAUGGGAGCACAAAGUCUCACGUUGCUGCUAUUCUUUCUUCUACGCUCUACGCUUGAUUUUGUCAGACCAAACUCUGAACUCAUCAGACUGUAUGGCUGACUAACGGAUGAAUAUAAUGCUUCCAGGGAGAUUUAAAUCCGAAAAGGAUUCGAUCAAACGUUUUUCCAGCUUGCCAAUAAUGUGUGCCAAUUUGUGUUGUCUAUGAAAAAAAAAAAAAAACAUUUUCCCCAUUAAAAAGACUAAAAAAAAAAAAGAGUCAAAACCUACAAGUGGUGUAGGACUGAUGAAAAAACUAUUGAGACUUGAAGCUAAAAAUAUGACUUGCAGGAAAGUAACUGACCUCAUCUACAAGUAAAGAACUCCUCAGCAAGCCGCUUCCCCGCUGCUAAGAAUUCUGGGAACCAGGACACGAAUGGCAAAUACUGCUGUGAGGCAUGAAAACAUCCAAAUGGUUGAGUGCAUUCUCUUUAAGUCACUUGUCUCUCUUUCAUGAGCUUGUUUUUCUUUUCUUUUUUCCUGCUCCAAAUAAUUUCCACAUGAUGUGGCGAGGGCGCGGUAUUUAUUGCCUACUGUUAAAUGCCUGCAAAUGAUUUCUUCUCAAAUGCCUGCAAAUAAUUUUUUUUCCCCUUGAAGUGAAUGCAACGGGGCUGUUGACGAGGGCCACGUCUGUGCGAAUAGUGCAUUCGCACAGACGUGGCCCACGUGCGUGUCUUUCCAGGUCAAGCACCGGAGAAAGGUCAUAUUAUGUGACUGGGAGCACACUAAGGCACGACGUUGCCCCGCCUCCUCUCUCAACGAACAAAAUGUGGCCUGUUUGCCAUCUGUAUUUGGAGAAGCUGAUAAGACUUCUGUGUUUAGUCCAAA